AGUGAACGCUGGCGGCGUGCCUAAUACAUGCAAGUCGAACGGAAUUUAAAAGAGCUUGCUCUUUUAAAUUUAGUGGCGCACGGGUGAGUAAUAUAUAGCUAAUCUGCCCCUUGCUGGAGGACAACAGUUAGAAAUGACUGCUAAUACUCCAUACUCCUUUUUACCAUAAGAUAAAUCGGGAAAGAAUUUCGGCAAGGGAUGAGACUAUAUCGUAUCAGCUAGUCGGUGGGGUAACGGCCUACCGAGGCUAUGACGCGUAACUGGUCUGAGAGGAUGAUCAGUCACAUUGGAACUGAGACACGGUCCAAACUCCUACGGGAGGCAGCAGUAGGGAAUAUUGCGCAAUGGGGGAAACCCUGACGCAGCAACGCCGCGUGGAGGAUGACGCUUUUCGGAGCGUAAACUCCUUUUGUUAGGGAAGAAUAAUGACGGUACCUAAC
rnacentral:rRNA from 1 species